GACCCAACCCAGGUCUGCUGACUCCUAGUCCAGUGCUUGUGAUGGCCAUUGGGCCCUGAACUAGGGGCCUGGAGGCCUGGGUUUGAUUAUCGCCAG
rnacentral:pre_miRNA from 12 species